rnacentral:rRNA from 1 species
GACGAACGCUGGCGGCGUGCUUAACACAUGCAAGUCGAACGGAAAGGCCCUGCUUUUGUGGGGUGCCCGAGUGGCGAACGGGUGAGUAACACGUGAGUAACCUGCCCUUGACUUUGGGAUAACUUCAGGAAACUGGGGCUAAUACCGGAUAGGAGCUCCUGCUGCAUGGUGGGGGUUGGAAAGUUUCGGCGGUUGGGAAUGGACUCGCGGCUUAUCAGCUUGUUGGUGGGGUAGUGGCUUACCAAGGCUUUGACGGGUAGCCGGCCUGGGAGGGUGGCCGGCCACAUUGGGACUGAGGUACGGCGCAGAGUCCUACGGGAGGCAGCAGUGGGAAAUAUUGCACAAUGGGCGGGAGCCUGAGGCAGCAACGCCGCGUGCGGGAUGACGGCCUUCUGGUUGUAAACCGCUUUCGCCUGUUACGAAGCGUGAGUGACGGUAAUGGGUAAAGAAGCACCGGCUAACUACGUG